rnacentral:lncRNA from 10 species
CGGAACUUUAUCUCUUCCAGGCUGAUAUUUUCCAAAAACAGCAAGCAUGCCCCAUUUUCAAGGAAGAGCUUAUAAAAGCUCUUCUCUCACUAAUGACUUUCUCAGAUGGGCAAUGCUGUAUUCUGUGGGCAUGAAAGGCAAAGAAAACUAAACAGUGAGUGGGACCUAUAUCUGGUUCCUUAUAUUUUCGAAUGUUUUGAUUUCCACCAUCUCAGCCAUUGGGGAAAUCCUAUCCUCGGAUUAGGAACCAUGCUCAUGGAGAAUUUAGAGGAGGAAAAUCUUUACAUUGAAGGAGAGGGAUUCUCAGUAGAUUGCCACACUGGUCUCAAACUCUUUGCUUUAAGUUGUCUUCCUGCCUCAGCCUCCCUAGUCACUGGGAUUACAGGACAGGCUUCAGAAAAAUGGAAAAUUGAUCUAACAAGGAAGAAGUAUUAUGAAGCAAUGUUAAAAAGAAAUUGGUAAUAAUUGCCAACAGAGAAAACCCUUCAAAGAGAGUUGCUGCUUUUCCUAAGGGUUUCCAAGGAUCCAAAAACCUUCGGAAGUUCCAAGGAUCAAGUCCCAGGAUCUAAGCUGGACCUUUCCUGGAACAAAUUCCUUCAGACAAAUUCUCCACCAGACCAUCAACUCAGGAGGGCAAACAAGGAACUUGUUUUCAAGAGCUGGAGCCAAACCACCCAGAGUUUCCUGUGCCAGGUGAGCAUGAAGAGGGGCCGAAGUCACCCAUUACUAACCCCUCACCCAUGACUGCCUGAAAGGUAUGUCUCAGGCUUUAACCAUGAAACCUGUUUCCUCUCUCCCCUCCAAAGUCCAGCCCAGAGAGGCAUGAUAAAAUCACUUAGCAAAUGGAAAAUAUUUUGUGCUUAUUCUAAGAAAUGUGAUCCAUCAAAAAUGAGCUGACAAGUCAUUUCAUUUCCAAGGACAGUGUCCACAUACUCCAGGCAGCCUCUGGACCUGGAAUAAGACACAUCUAAGCCACAGGCCAGUAAGGACCAUACAGCUAUAACGUUAUGAGUGAUUCUGUAGCAUGGUUUUAAGGCACCAGCUGCACAGUCAGACUGCCUGGUUUCAGCCCAGCUCCCUCAUUUGCUAGCUGUGAAAACUGGGUGAAUUGCUUAAGCAACCCUUAAUGACAUUUUGUUGUUUUAAAAACGGCAAUAAUAAUAAUACUCCCUUCUUCAUAUGAUUGUUUUGAGAUUUGGAUAAGGCAAUAGGUGCUUUAUUCGAUAAGGACCCUAGAACAUACAAAUCUAUUUUAAAAAUGCUAUUAAUAUGGUUUUGCCCUAAAAAGGCAGGUUCUUCUGUUUCUCAAAUCUGACAAAGUUUUGUCAGACUCUUGAAUUCUCAUUAAUAGUUCCAACACAGACUAUUAAUGCUGUUAGUUUUGACCAAAUACAUGACUCAUGAAUUAACUAACUCUUACUUGGUAAUCUGAAGGAAUCAAUAAAAUCCACACUUAAUUCCCCCUAAAUCAACUGAACAACUAUGGACUAUGGAAUUGGGGAGAUCUGUCUAAAUGGCAGCAAUAUCAACUACGAAAAAUAUUUAUUUAGAGUCUGGGUAGGUACCAAGUUCAAUGAACUGCUUAGAGAGUCUGUGUUGCUUUGGUGACUGUUCUAGGCAGUGCUAAUUUUGCUACAAUUUCCUUUCUUAAGUAAGUCACAACCAGAAUAAAAACAAAGUUCUAGAAAUCCCAUAUUUUUACAAACUGGAUUGAUGAAACCAGUUUUUAAAAUAUCAGAGGACCAGACUGAAAAAGAAACCAGGUGUAGCAAAAGGCAACUCUUCUGGAAACUGAAAAUUCAAAGAAACAUGGUAAUCUCACUGUAUUAAUUUUCUUUUCCUCUUGUAACAAAUUACCACAAGCUUAGUGGCUUAAAACAACACAAAUUUAUAUCCUACAGUUUGUGGAGAAGUAUGAAGUGGGUCUUCCAGGGCUAAAAUCAGUGCUGGUAGAGAGGGGGUACAGAGAAUCUGUUCCUAUUCUUUUCAGCUUCUAGAGAAAGCCUGGGUUCCUUGGCUCAAAGUUUCUUCCAGCAGGGGCAUCUCUCUGACCUCUGUUUCCACUGCCUCAGCUCCUACUCUCACUCGAACCCUCCUGCAUCCCUCUUAUAGGAACCCUUGUGAUUACACUGAGCCUUCUCAAUCAAUGCAGGAUAAUCUUCUAUCUAUCUCAAGACCCGUAAUGUAAUCACAUCUGCAAAGUCCCUUUUGCCAUUUGAGGUAACAAAUCCAUAGGCUCCAAGAAUUAAGAUAUGGACAUCUUUUAGGGGACCAUUCUUCUGACUACCAUACUCCCCUAGCUGAAGAAUUAUUGUGUGAAACAGGGAUAAAGGCAGAACUAAUAUAAAUGAGUCAAAGUGGCCAGGAGGUGAAAUUUGGCUCCAAACAGAAGAAUCUCAAUAAUGAUAAGAGGUGAGUGAAAAAGGACAGGAGCUUUUGAGGAGGAUGUGGGCUCUUUAUCACUAGGGCUGAGCCUCUCUUUCUAAACAUUCACUCCCUCUGCCCAUGUUGGGGUUUUGAUUGCAUGGCAUUUGAGGGUCUUUCCAAUUUUAAGCUUCCAGGUCUUUGAAAAUUUGGAAGGUGUGUCAGUCAGUGUAUAGGCUAGGCUAUGCUGGGUAACAACCAAUCCCCCAAAUCUCAGUGAUUUCAAUCAACACAUCCAUUGUUGGACUGCAUUAGCUCUGGUCGUUGUGGUCCUCUAGGGACUAAAGAGACACCACCACUGCAGACAUAGCUAGCCACAGUGCCAGCAGGAUAGAGAGUUCUGGAGGGUCUAGAAAGAGCAACUGAUACCCUGGUCCACAAGGGUCACACAACACUUACACUAACAGCUCCUCAGUCAGAACUAGUCACAAGUCUCUGGCCAACUAAAAGGAAGACCAGGAUAAAGAGCCAAUCUGGAAGGCAAAGAAACAGAAAUAUUGACGAGUGCAAAUAGUGACUGUGACAGGAAACAAUUGACCCUCUCCAUCAAUCAAUUCACAGAUUUUAGUCAUAAAAGGAGUCAUAAAACUCUUUUGACCCCUAAAGAGUUUUUCUAAACAGGGUGACGGUCAAUCGAUUAUCCUAGGCUCACUGAUGCAACAAGAUUGUCUUAAGCAUGUUCUUCUUUCUUGAUUUUAGCUCCAUGGUUAGGGUUUCACUUUCAAAAGAUUAAUAAUAAGGUGAUAAUGAUGAUGAUAAUGAUGAUGAUGAUGGUAAUGCAUGCUUUUUGAAAAUCACAGUGUACUGAGCAUUGUACUCAGCAUUUUCCACAUUUAUUUUUUGAAUCUCAGGCAUAGAGGCAUGAGUGAAUCACACUUCUGAUUUCAUAGCAUACUUCUAUUGUAAGACUCAUACAAAGACUCUCUCAUGGUGUAUUUUAUUCAUGUGUCCCCUCUCCUCAUUUUAUCAACCAUAAUGUCUUUGAUAUGAUACCUUAAUAUUUUGUAUAUUUUUGCAAAUUGUAUAGUGUUGUUGUUAUGUAGGUAUUUUUAAUUCUAUAAAAGUAUAUUCAUGUAUACUGGUUCUGUUUAUUUCUUCCUUACAUUCGGAUCUUACUGCAUUUAUGAGUAUAUGUCUCACGUAGUUAAUGUCUUAUAACAGUAACGUAAUAUUCCAUACUGUGUGUCCAUUAUAGUUCCCUUAGCUUUUCCCCUGCAAUGGAACAUCUAGGUUGUCUAAUGUUCCCUGAUACUUUAAACCAGGGGUCAGCAAACAUUUUUUAUAAAGAGUGACACAGUAAAUAUAUUUGGCUUUGGGGGUUCUGAAGUCUUGGUUUUAAGGAUUUUGCUGCUGUUAUACCAUAAAAGCAGCCAUAGACAGUGCACAAAUACAUGCCUGUGGACAUAUUUGGCCCAUUGGUCAUAUUUGACAAUCCCUAGUUCAAACACCAUGGUGAUGAAUAUCCUCUAUGUGUUCCCUUAUGAAAUUGGGGCUAGAUGUUCUCUCAAAUAUACUGUACAAACAAGAGUGAGAUUGCAGCAUCAUAAGAUAUGCCCAAACAUCAUUAGACUAAGUAUUUCUGGUUGCAUCAGCCUGUUCUCUUAACAACAGUUAAUAAAAAUAAGAGCCCUCAGAAAUAACG